AACGAACGCUGGCGGCAUGCCUAACACAUGCAAGUCGAACGAAACCUUCGGGUCUAGUGGCGCACGGGUGCGUAACGCGUGGGAACCUUCCCUUAGGUUCGGAAUAACUCCCCGAAAGGGGUGCUAAUACCGGAUAAUGUCUUCGGACCAAAGAUUUAUCGACUUUGGAUGGGCCCGCGUUGGAUUAGCUAGUUGGUAGGGUAAAAGCCUACCAAGGCGACGAUCCAUAGCUGGGCUGAGAGGCUGAUCAGCCACACUGGGACUGAGACACGGCCCAGACUCCUACGGGAGGCAGCAGUGGGGAAUAUUGCACCAUGGGCGAAAGCCUGAUCCAGCAAUGCCGCGUGAGUGAUGAAGGCCUUAGGGUUGUAAAGCUCUUUUACCCGGGAUGAUAAUGACAGUACCGGGAGAAUAAGCUCCGGCUAACUCCGUG
rnacentral:rRNA from 1 species